CUACACACAGCACCACCACCUACUAGGACAGGACCAACACCAGGGUCUGGAAGAAAACAUCCCUUUCAAAUCCACGGGGCAAUUUUUACCAACUCAUUUUUCAUGGAGCAGGAAAAAUAGUCAGACAAAUCAAAGGAAUAAGGAAGGAAGACUUGUCCUAACAGUGUGGUGCCCCGGGGGAUCCUGACUGUGUGGAGGCGCGCGGGACACACUGCGGCCCUGACGGGAGCCCUGCGGUGGGCAUACACGAGGGAGUUCUUCAUCCUCUCAGCAGGCUGGCACACACCAAUGGCAGGCUGGGGUCCUUGGCUUGUUUCAGAAAGGGGAGG